UACGUAGGGGCGAGCGUUAUCCGGAAUUAUUGGGCGUAAAGGGUUCGCAGGCGGCCUUGUAAGUCAGAUGUGAAAGACAGCGGCUUAACCGUUGUAAGCAUUUGAAACUGCAGGGCUUGAGUACAGGAGAGGAAAGCGGAAUUCCUAGUGUAGCGGUGAAAUGCGUAGAUAUUAGGAGGAACGCCAGUGGCGAAGGCGGCUUUCUGGACUGAUACUGACGCUGAGGAACGAAAGCGUGGGGAGCAAACAGGAUUAGAUACCCCGGUAGUCCCUGA
rnacentral:rRNA from 1 species